UCUGGUAAUGAUGGCAGAGAGGUCACACCCGUUCCCAUAUCGAACACGGAAGUUAAGCUCUCUAGCGCCGAUGGUAGUUGGGACCUUGUCCCUGUGAGAGUAGGACGUUGCCAGGC
rnacentral:rRNA from 6 species